rnacentral:rRNA from 1 species
GAUGAACGCUGGCGGCGUGCUUAACACAUGCAAGUCGAACGGUGAAGCAGAGCUUGCUCUGUGGAUCAGUGGCGAACGGGUGAGUAACACGUGAGCAACCUGCCCCGGACUCUGGGAUAAGCGCUGGAAACGGCGUCUAAUACCGGAUACGAGCUGCGAAGGCAUCUUCAGCAGCUGGAAAGAAUUUCGGUCCGGGAUGGGCUCGCGGCCUAUCAGCUUGUUGGAGAGGUAAUGGCUCACCAAGGCGUCGACGGGUAGCCGGCCUGAGAGGGUGACCGGCCACACUGGGACGGAGACGCGGCCCAGACCCCUACGGGAGGGAGGAGUGGGGAAUAUUGCACAAUGGGCGAAGGCCUGAUGCAGCAACGCCGCGUGGGGGAAGACGGCCUUCGGGUUGUAAACCUCUUUUAGCAGGGAAGAAGCGAAAGUGACGGUACCUGCAGAAAAAGCACCGGCUAACUACGUGCCAGCCGCCGCAGUAAAAC